CUCUGAUGUCCUCCAGUGGAUGACUGAUUCAACGCACCAUGGGACAUCCAGACUGUGGACUACGACUCAGCAAUAAAAAAAGAACCAAUGACUGAUACAUGCAACAACCUGGAUGUAUCUCAGGGAAAUUUUGCCGAGUGGAAAUGGUCAACCUCGUGCAUAAGUCUCCGUGGCUCCCUACCAGACCUCAGGGAUUGGGCAUUUCCUUGACUUCUUAUUUGUUCUGUUCUGCCUGCUUCCCUCUUCCUGCUCCCCGGAUCCCACGCAGAGGAUGGACUAGAGCCAAAAGAGCAGUUGAGGAAAAUGAGUCUCAAGAAGGUUUACCAGUUUGGCCCAGGCCACACUAGAAAGAGGAGAUGGGAAUCAAAUAUAUGAGCUUUAUGUAUUCUUCAGGCCAUCUUCUCACUGCAAUAUACAUGUCGUAUCUUCUCCCAU